AGGUCAUGAUGUGGAAACUUCCUUAGUAAAUCAUUUAAUCUCUCCCAUGCUUCAUAGAAUGGCUCCCCAUCAUUUUAAGAGAAUCCCAUAAUGGCAGUCCGCAUUU